rnacentral:rRNA from 1 species
UACGUAGGGUGCGAGCGUUAAUCGGAAUUACUGGGCGUAAAGCGUGCGCAGGCGGUUAUUUAAGUCAGGUGUGAAAGCCCUGGGCUUAACCUAGGAAUUGCGCUUGAGACUGGAUAGCUUGGAGUGCGGCAGAGGGGGGUGGGAAUUCCACGUGUAGCAGUGAAAUGCGUAGAGAUGUGGAGGAACACCGAUGGCGAAGGCAGCCUCCUGGGCCAGCACUGACGCUCAUGCACGAAAGCGUGGGGAGCAAACAGG